rnacentral:rRNA from 1 species
CCUACGGGCGACAGCAGUGAGGAAUAUUGGUCAAUGGCCGGAAGCCUGAACCAGCCAAGUAGCGUGCAGGAUGACUGCCCUACGGGUUGUAAACUGCUUUUAUACGGGGAUAAAGGUCCUUACGUGUGGGGCUUUGCAUGUACCGCAUGAAUAAGGACCGGCUAAUUCCGUGCCAGCAGCCGCGGUAAUACGGAAGGUCCGGGCGUUAUCCGGAUUUAUUGGGUUUAAAGGGGGCGUAGGCCGGAUGUUAAGCGUGCUGUGAAAUUUUGGGGCUCAACCCGGGCAGUGCGGCGCGAACUGGCGACCUUGAGUGCGCGGAAGGCAGGCGGAAUUCGUGGUGUAGCGGUGAAAUGCUUAGAUAUGACGAAGAACCCCGAUUGCGAAGGCAGCUUGCUGCAGCGGAACUGACGCUGAAGCUCGAAAGCGCGGGUAUCGAACAGGAUUAGAUACCCGGGUAGUC